GGAGUUGGUAUCUCAGUGGUAGAGUGCAUGCUUUGUAUGUAUGCUGUCCUGGGCUCAAUACCAGCUUCUCCC